rnacentral:rRNA from 1 species
UUGGUGCUUGCACCAGAUGACGAGUGGCGAACGGGUGCGUAACGCGUAUACAACCUACCUCUUAUUAAGGAAUAGCUCAGAGAAAUUUGAAUUAAUACCUUAUAAUAUCAUAAAGUCGCAUGGCUUAAUGAUUAAAGAACUUCGAUAAGAGAUGGGUAUGCGUGAUAUUAGCUAGUUGGUAAGGUAACGGCUUACCAAGGCAACGAUAUCUAGGGGGUCUGAGAGGAUGAUCCCCCACACUGGUACUGAGACACGGGCCAGACUCCUACGGGAGGCAGCAGUGAGGAAUAUUGGACAAUGGACGAAAGUCUGAUCCAGCCAUGCCGCGUGAAGGAUGAAUGCCCUAUGGGUUGUAAACUUCUUUUAUAUAGGAAGAAACCUCUGGAUUUAUCCAGAGCUGACAUUACUAUACGAAUAAGCAUCGGCUAACUCCGUGCCAGCAGCCGCGGUAAUACGGAGGAUGCAAGCGUUAUCCGGAUUUAUUGGGUUUAAAGGGUCCGUAGGCGGAAUUUUAAGUCAGUGGUGA